GACGAACGCUGGCGGCGUGCUUAACACAUGCAAGUCGAACGGUAAGGCUCCAGCUUGCUGGGGUACACGAGUGGCGAACGGGUGAGUAACACGUGGGUGACCUGCCCUGCACUUCGGGAUAAGCCUGGGAAACUGGGUCUAAUACCGGAUAGGACUGCACCGUGAGGGUGUGGUGGAAAGUUUUUUCGGUGUGGGAUGGGCCCGCGGCCUAUCAGCUUGUUGGUGGGGUAAUGGCCUACCAAGGCGGCGACGGGUAGCCGGCCUGAGAGGGUGGACGGCCACAUUGGGACUGAGACACGGCCCAGACUCCUACGGGAGGCAGCAGUGGGGAAUAUUGCACAAUGGGCGGAAGCCUGAUGCAGCGACGCCGCGUGGGGGAUGACGGCCUUCGGGUUGUAAACUCCUUUCACCAUCGACGAAGGGUUUCUGACGGUAGAUGGAGAAGAAGCACCGGCUAACUACGUGCCAGCAGCCGCGGUAAUACGUAGGGUGCGAGCGUUGUCCGGAAUUACUGGGCGUAAAGAGCUCGUAGGUGGUUUGUCGCGUCGUCUGUGAAAUUCCGGGGCUUAACUCCGGGCGUGCAGGCGAUACGGGCAUAACUUGAGUACUGUAGGGGAGACUGGAAUUCCUGGUGUAGCGGUGAAAUGCGCAGAUAUCAGGAGGAACACCGGUGGCGAAGGCGGGUCUCUGGGCAGUAACUGACGCUGAGGAGCGAAGGCAUGGGGAGCGAACAGGAUUAGAUACCCUGGUAGUCCAUGCCGUAAACGGUGGGCGCUAGGUGUGGGUUUCCUUCCACGGGAUCCGUGCCGUAGCUAACGCAUUAAGCGCCCCGCCUGGGGAGUACGGCCGCAAGGCUAAAACUCAAAGGAAUUGACGGGGGCCCGCACAAGCGGCGGAGCAUGUGGAUUAAUUCGAUGCAACGCGAAGAACCUUACCUGGGCUUGACAUAUACAGGAUCGCGCCAGAGAUGGUGUUUCCCUUGUGACUUGUAUACAGGUGGUGCAUGGUUGUCGUCAGCUCGUGUCGUGAGAUGUUGGGUUAAGUCCCGCAACGAGCGCAACCCUUGUAUUAUGUUGCCAGCACGUUGUGGUGGGGACUCGUAAGAAACUGCCGGGGUUAACUCGGAGGAAGGUGGGGAUGACGUCAAAUCAUCAUGCCCCUUAUGUCCAGGGCUUCACACAUGCUACAAUGGUCGGUACAGUGGGUUGCCAGUCCGUGAGGGCGAGCUAAUCCCGCAAAGCUGGUCUCAGUUCGGAUCGGGGUCUGCAACUCGACCCCGUGAAGUCGGAGUCGCUAGUAAUCGCAGAUCAGCAACGCUGCGGUGAAUACGUUCCCGGGCCU
rnacentral:rRNA from 1 species